CGUGUAGGCGGCCCAUCAAGUCGGGUGUGAAAGCCCACGGCUUAACCGUGGAAGUGCAUUCGAAACUGGCGGGCUUGAGUGCGGGAGAGGGAGGUGGAAUUCCUGGUGUAGAGGUGAAAUUCGUAGAUAUCAGGAGGAACACCGGUUGCGAAGGCGGCCUCCUGGACCGCCACUGACGCUGAGACGCGAAAGCGUGGGGAGCAAACAGGAUUAGAUACCCUGGUAGUCCACGCCUUAAACGGUGAGUACUAGGUGUCGGGGGUAUUGAUCCCUUCGGCGCCGUAGCCAACGCAUUAAGUACUCCGCCUGGGAAGUACGGCCGCAAGGUUGAA
rnacentral:rRNA from 1 species